CAAUAGCGUAUAUUUAAGUUGCUGCAGUUAAAAAGCUCGUAGUUGGAUUUCGGGUGGGAAUGGCCGGUCCGCCGUUUCGGUGUGCACUUGCUACGCCCACCUUGCUGCCGGGGACGUGCUCUUGAGUUCACGCUCGGGACACGGAGUCGGCGAGGUUACUUUGAGUAAAUUAGAGUGUUCAAAGCAGGCCUACGCUCUGAAUACAUUAGCAUGGAAUAACACGAUAGGACUCUGGCCUAUCUUGUUGGUCUGUAGGACCGGAGUAAUGAUUAAGAGGGACAGUCGGGGGCAUUCGUAUUUCAUUGUCAGAGGUGAAAUUCUUGGAUUUAUGAAAGACGUACUACUGCGAAAGCAUUUGCCAAGGAUGUUUUCAUUAA
rnacentral:rRNA from 1 species